UUGUAUUUUAUUUUGUGGUUUAUUUGUAGUUUUUAUUUUUCAUUUUGAAUCAUAAUUAUAGCUAUGUAUUAUUUGCUGUUCUUGUUUGGACUGCUCAAUUACCAUCAAAGAUUUAACUAUAUAUCUGGCUUUUUUUGUUACCAGCCUAUAUCAUAUUGUGUGUGAAUCAAUUCCAACCUUCAUCAUGUUUGAGCCCAAGCCUCCCAAAUUAUUCGAGAGGAUCUUGCUAGUGCUGGAGCCACCAAAGGCCUACAUGCUGUGUGCUAGUGUUGACCGAGCCUACCAAGGGGGAACUGGGCAAGGAGGAUCAAG